UGGCGGCAGGCCUAACACAUGCAAGUCGAGCGGAAACGACAACAUUGAAUCUUCGGAGGAUUUGAUGGGCGUCGAGCGGCGGACGGGUGAGUAAUGCCUAGGAAAUUGCCUUGAUGUGGGGGAUAACCAUUGGAAACGAUGGCUAAUACCGCAUAAUGCCUACGGGCCAAAGAGGGGGACCUUCGGACCUCUCGCGUCAAGAUAUGCCUAGGUGGGAUUAGCUAGUUGGUGAGGUAAUGGCUCACCAAGGCGACGAUCCCUAGCUGGUCUGAGAGGAUGAUCAKCCACACUGGAACUGAGACACGGUCCAGACUCCUACASGGAGGCAGCAGUGGGGAAUAUUGCACAAUGGKCGAAAGCCUGAUGCARCCAUGCCGSGUGUAUGAAGAAGGCCUUCGSGUUGUAAAGWACUUUCAGUUGUGAGGAAGGGUGUGUAGUUAAUAGCUGCNCAUCUUGACGUUAGCAACAGAAGAAGCACCGGCUAACUCCGUGCCAGCAGCCGCGGUAAUACGGAGGGUGCGAGCGUUAAUCGGAAUUACUGGGCGUAAAGCGCAUGCAGGUGGUUCAUUAAGUCANAUGUGAAACCCGGGGCUCAACCUCGGAACUGCAUUUGAAACUGGUGAACUAGANUGCUGUAAAAGGGGGUAGAAUUUCA
rnacentral:rRNA from 1 species